UCUCUGGGCCAACGUCAGUCACGCAGGUGCCUGGCCCACAGUGUGCUGAAGCUCGGGCCCUUCCCGGAGCGCUUGGCUCCUGCACUGAGCUGUGUGAGCUCUUCUGCCCAAGUGGUCCCCCCUGAAAUUGACCGGCAUAGAGUUUGGUGGCAGGGACAGCCAAGGGUUCCCCAUGUCCAUGAUGAUGCAGUAUUUCACUUGGAUCUCAUCCCCUGGGUCCAUGGAGGGCAAGCAUGCGUGAGCUGGCCUCACCUACCUCCUUCCCCACAUGGAGCUCAUCUUGGACACGUGUCCUCCACGUGUACCCCAGACUGAAGAAAGACUUGCAUUGGGCCUGCUGUUCCGGGCCAGUGGCCAUCAGCCAGGUGCCUCGCCCCUGGUGCGCUGAAGCUCGGGCCCUUUCUGGCACCCUGGUGUCCUGCACUGAGCUGUGUGAGCUCUUCAGCUCAGAAGUGCCCUUCGGCCUUGACCCGCAGAGAUGUUGAGCCUGGAGGAAGACUUAUGUGAGGCCCAGUGGAGCCAGGCCAGUGUCCGUCAGCCAGUAGCUCACCCCCUGGUGCACUGAAGUUUGGGCCCUUCCUGGCACCCUGGUCUCCUGCACUGAGCUGUGUGAGCCUGUCUGCCAACGGUGGCCUCCUGGCAUUGACCAACAUAGAUGGUGAGCCCAGAGGAGGACUUGCAUUGGGCACAAUGGCCCUGGGACAGUGUCUGUCAGCUGAGUUCCCAGCCCGCAAUGCGCUAAAGCUCAG